GAAAUGCGAUAAGUAAUGUGAAUUGCAGAAUUCAGUGAAUCAUCGAAUCUUUGAACGCACAUUGCGCCCGCCAGCACUCUGGCGGGCAUGCCUGUUCGAGCGUCAUUUCAACCCUCAGAACCCCUUGCGGGAUCUGGCGUUGGGGAUUGGCAUCCAGCCAGCCCCGAAAUCUAGUGGCGGUCCCUCCGCGUCGGCCACGAGCGCAGCAGAAACGCGAACUCGUGAGCCCGUCCGGGCGGCUCCCAGAAGCUACACCCACCCAGUUUGACCUCGGAUCAGGUAGGGAUACCCGCUGAACUUAAGC
rnacentral:misc_RNA from 1 species